UCGAUGAUGAUUGCAAUUAUAUGUUGCAAGUGCCGUCUGAAAUUGUUGAUUGAUGUCAAAUGCAGAUUGACUGAGA